GACGAACGCUGGCGGCGUGCUUAACACAUGCAAGUCGAACGGUGAUGCUCCAGCUUGCUGGAGUGGAUCAGUGGCGAACGGGUGAGUAACACGUGAGCAACCUGCCCCAGACUCUGGAAUAAGCGCUGGAAACGGCGUCUAAUACUGGAUACGAAACUGGCCCGCAUGGGCAUGGUUUGGAAAGUUUUUCGGUUUGGGAUGGGCUCGCGGCCUAUCAGCUUGUUGGUGAGGUAAUGGCUCACCAAGGCGACGACGGGUAGCCGGCCUGAGAGGGCGACCGGCCACACUGGGACUGAGGCACGGCCCAGACUCCUACGGGAGGCAGCAGUGGGGAAUAUUGCACAAUGGGCGAAAGCCUGAUGCAGCGACGCCGCGUGAGGGAUGACGGCCUUCGGGUUGUAAACCUCUUUCAGCAGGGAAGAAGCGAAAGUGACGGUACCUACAGAAGAAGCACCGGCUAACUACGUG
rnacentral:rRNA from 1 species